GGACCCGCACAAGCGGUGGAUUAUGUGGAUUAAUUCGAUGCAACGCGAAAAACCUUACCUACCCUUGACAUGUCCGGAAGGCUGCUGAAAGGCGGCUGUGCCCGAAAGGGAACUGGAACACAGGUGCUGCAUGGCUGUCGUCAGCUCGUGUCGUGAGAUGUUGGGUUAAGUCCCGCAACGAGCGCAACCCUUGUCAUUAGUUGCUCCAUUCAGUUGAGCACUCUAAUGAGACUGCCGGUGACAAACCGGAGGAAGGUGGGGAUGACGUCAAGUCCUCAUGGCCCUUAUGGGUAGGGCUUCACACGUAAUACAAUGGCGCGUACAGAGGGCAGCGAAGGGGCGACCUGGAGCCAAUCCCGACAAAGCGCGUCGUAGUCCGGAUUGCAGUCUGCAACUCGACUGCAUGAAGUCGGAAUCGCUAGUAAUCGCGGAUCAGCAUGUCGCGGUGAAUACGUUCCCGGGUCUU
rnacentral:rRNA from 1 species